rnacentral:rRNA from 1 species
AUUGAACGCUGGCGGCAGGCCUAACACAUGCAAGUCGACCGAGUGGCGGACGGGUGAGUAAUGUCUGGGACCCUGCCCGAUGGAGGGGGCUAACUACUGGAAACGGUAUCUAAUACCGCAUCCCAUCGGAUGUGCCCAUAUGGGAUUAGCUAGUAGGGGGGGUAAUGGCUCACCUGGGCGACGAUCCCUAGCUGGUCUGAGGGGAUGACGAGCCACACUGGAACUGAGACACGGUCCAGACUCCUACGGGAGGCAGCAGUGGGGAAUAUUGCACAAUGGGCGCAAGCCUGAUGCAGCCAUGCCGCGUGUAUGAAGAAGGCCAUCGGGUUGUAAAGUACUUUCAGCGAGGAGGCGUUACUCGCAGAAGAAGCACCGGCUAACUCCGUGCCAGCAGCCGCGGUAAUAC